GUUAGUCGGCGUCGUGCCCGUCAAGCCCGCCGCUGGGUACGGGGACGAGGAGGAAGAGGAGGCGAGAGAUUUGUUCGGCUCCAACAACCAGGAGUACGUCAAGACCCGCGUAGCAACUACCUAAUUCCAGGUCCGCCUCUCGCUACUGAAUUAGCCGCUAGAUUCUCCGGGGCCAAGUUAUCUCCUCAAUAUUUGGUGAGCAAAAUUUCUUAGGAGAUUGCUACAUAAUCCUACCCAGUUUGUG
rnacentral:rRNA from 1 species